ACUCCUACGGGAGGCAGCAGUGGGGAAUAUUGCACAAUGGGCGCAAGCCUGAUGCAGCCAUGCCGCGUGUGUGAAGAAGGCCUUCGGGUUGUAAAGCACUUUCAGCGAGGAGGAAGGGUUCAGUGUUAAUAGCACUAUUCAUUGACGUUACUCGCAGAAGAAGCACCGGCUAACUCCGUGCCAGCAGCCGCGGUAAUACGGAGGGUGCAAGCGUUAAUCGGAAUUACUGGGCGUAAAGCGCACGCAGGCGGUUUGUUAAGUCAGAUGUGAAAUCCCCGCGCUUAACGUGGGAACUGCAUUUGAAACUGGCAAGCUAGAGUCUUGUAGAGGGGGGUAGAAUUCCAGGUGUAGCGGUGAAAUGCGUAGAGAUCUGGAGGAAUACCGGUGGCGAAGGCGGCCCCCUGGACAAAGACUGACGCUCAGGUGCGAAAGCGUGGGGAGCAAACAGGGUUAGAUACCCUGGUAGUCCACGCUGUAAACGAUGUCGACUUGGAGGUUGUGCCCUUGAGGCGUGGCUUCCGGAGCUAACGCGUUAAGUCGACCGCCUGGGGAGUACGGCCGCAAGGUUAAAACUAUAAUGAAUUGACGGGGGCCCCCACAAGCGGUGGAGCAUGUGG
rnacentral:rRNA from 1 species